GCACAAGCCGGCAAGCCAGCUGCAGCAGCAUGCAACGAUUGCAACGGUCAGUGAUGCAGUUUUGUUAACCAGAGGAAAUAGGAUAAUUUUCUGCCCUUCGUGACCAGCUGAAGGCCUCUGAAGUGCACAAUACCAUCGCGACCAUUGCCCACCGAUGCCAUCCGAGUGUGAAUGGCCUGCGUUUGCGUCACGCUGGCCAAACGAAAUCGUAAGAAUUCUCGUCUCGCCCAAGCAAGAUUGAGAAAUCGUGACAUCCCAAAUUAUAUGGAGACGGCCCCGACUUAAAGCCCACUGAGUCCGCUGUUGAGGAACGGUCAAGAAUCAAAAUUGUUCUGAGAUGGCGAGUACGCGCCAGGUCGAAGAAGAAGGAGAAAGAGAAGGAGAAGUAAAAG